UGAAACACGAAGAAGUGGAAAGUAAAUCGCAAUGAUUUCCAAGAGAGCUCAUGGUUGGUGGAAAUGAGUAAUUUAGAGCGAUUGAAAAUGGCCACCGAGUGGCUAUCCUGAAUGCAUGUCGGCAAUAAGGAUAGACGGCUGCUACCGUUAAUCAGGCACCGGUAUAUGAACUCUGAUUAGAGAAUGUACGGGUUGAGGUAAUUCCAGCAAUGGAAAUAUGAAUUAAGGUGGUACCACGGAGUAGAACUCGCGUCCUUUUU
rnacentral:ncRNA from 1 species